rnacentral:lncRNA from 1 species
UAAAUGGAUCUGUAACAAGAGACAGGAGGCAGGGAGUCUGCUUGGGAGAACUCUGUGAUACACUGUGACUCAUGGACUAUGGACUGUGUGUUGAAACUUCCAAUGUUUGAAGAUCUGCUUCUUUGCCCUCUGAACUCUGAGCAAGGAACCUUUCCAAACAGUGUGAACUCAUUGGCUUCCCCAUAACUCUACAGAGCUCGCGCUGCCAUAUAACUGGGAAUCAGAGAGGUGAGGU